rnacentral:misc_RNA from 1 species
GAUGAAGAACGCAGCGAAAUGCGAUACUUGGUGUGAAUUGCAGAAUCCCGUGAACCAUCGAGUCUUUGAACGCAAGUUGCGCCCGAAGCCAUUAGGCCGAGGGCACGCCUGCCUGGGCGUCACACGUCGUUGCCCCCCCAUCUACUCCUUCGGGAUUGCGGGGGGCGGAUGAUGGCCUCUCGUGCGCCUCGUCGCGCGGUUGGCCUAAAUGCCAAGUCCUCGGCGACGCACGCCACGACAAUCGGUGGUUGCGAAACCUCGGUUGCCUGUCGUGUGCGGUCGUCGCGCAUCGAGGGCUCGAAAAAAUUGCCGGGUUCCGGCUCGGCUUUCAACGCGACCCCAGGUCAGGCGGGGUUACCCGCUGAAUUUAAGCAUAUCAAUAAGCGGAGGA